rnacentral:rRNA from 1 species
UACGGAGGAUGCAAGCGUUAUCCGGAAUUAUUGGGCGUAAAGCGUCCGCAGGUGGCACUUCAAGUCUGUCGUCAAAGACCGGGGCUUAACCCUGGAAAGGCGAUGGAAACUGAAAGGCUAGAGAGAGGUAGGGGUAGAGGGAAUUCCCAGUGUAGCGGUGAAAUGCGUAGAGAUUGGGAAGAACAUCGGUGGCGAAAGCGGCUUCCUGGACCGACACUGACGCUGAGGCGCGAAAGCUAGGGGAGCAAACGGG